UACGAAGGGUGCAAGCGUUGUUCGGAUUUAUUGGGCGUAAAGCGCGCGCAGGCGGAUAUGAAAGUCAGGUGUGAAAUCUCGAGGCUCAACCUCGAAACUGCGCCUGAAACUCCUUAUCUAGAGUCAUCAAGGGGGAAGGGGAAUUUCACGUGUAGGGGUAAAAUCCGUAGAGAUGUGAAGGAAGACCUGAGGCGAAGGCGCCUUCCUGGUGAUGUACUGACGCUGAGGCGCGAAAGCGUGGGGAGCAAACAGG
rnacentral:rRNA from 1 species